CAUUUGUAUACAUGGCUUCACACAGGAGGAAAAGUGUUAAGUUUUACAUAUGUUAAGUUAAACGUUUAACUUUAAAAAGUAUUAAGUUACUAAGAAUUUCCUGGUCCCAGUGCUGGCCAGACUGAGAGGAGAGACGGUUCACAGAGAUGUUUCUGAAGGUGCUAUAAACCGUUCUCACCCUGAGGAUAGCAGUUUAGUGUAGCGUCAGUCGGACCAAUACACAUUCCCGUGCUGCUGGGGAGACCCAGGUGUAAGAAGUAGGGUCAGGAUGUAAGGAAAGGAAGAAUCAAGCUUUGUGAUGAAAGAUGCUCAGCACAGGACACGUGAGGGAAAUGCUGAGAACGGGAGGGGGAAAUGUGUCAGCGCAGAACCGGGCAGGCGUUCAGUAACAGUGACGGAAGGAGUGGCUGCAGCGACAGCUUUGCAACUGCUGUGCUUCUGCAGCCGUGUGCAGUGUGUCUUGAGUGGUGAGAUGAUGUGUGUGAGUGUGCAAUGCAGAUAACAUGGACUGGGGCAGAUUAUUUAACAGCAUACCCAGCAUUGUGUCUUCUCUGAUGGAACAAUUUGUAACUCAUAGGAUAAGACUUGAAGAAUGUCACGGGCAAAUGCGGGAAGCAGAGAUCAUUUGGAGACACCAGGUCACUCUUGCCGAGAAGAAGGCCCAAGACAGCUCGCUCAGGGCUCAGGAGCUGGAGAGGGAAAUCUCUGAAUUGAGAAGGGAAAACUCUGACCUGAGAAGGGAAAACUCUGACCUGAGAAGGGAAAAAUCCUCUGAGCUGAGAAGGGAAGUUGCCCACCUGAAACAGAGAUGGAGGCAGGCAGAGGAAUACAUGAGGCAGGAGCCCACCCCAGGAGGACCGUACAGGCUGCAACCUCCCCUGAGAGCUUCACAGAGGGAUGGCAACCCUGUUAGGAAUGGAACCACCUUUCCGGCUCAGGAGUAAGAUGAAACCAAAGUCACCCCGUGGGCCAGAGGGCCACAAUCUUUCCAAGGACCAGCCUGCGUGGCCUGCCCCGGGUGCGGCCCGUCAUCGCCCACCUGGGCACCUGCUCCUGGUCCCCCUUGGUGCCCUGUGCAACCUUGCCCCCACCGCCAGAUGCUCCGCUCGAUGGUGUGUCAGUGUGCCACUUUACAGAAGAGAGAGGAAGAGAAUCUUCCUGGGAUGAGGAAGGGGCGGAUAAGCGCGAAAUUACAAAACCGGAGUAUGCUACUGGGACUGUAGAAGUGGCUCCGCAGGAGCUGACGGAUCAUAAAACACUGAGCUCUGAUGGUGGAGCACACGGAGCUUAUUAUACACUGCUUAAUUUAGUGAACGUGGCUGGCAUUCCUUGUCCUUCGUGCCAAGAAAGAAUUGUGCCCUGGAUGGAAGGGUAUAUGUAGCUCAGCAGUAGAGAGAAUGCGGGCUUAGCAUGCAGGAGUUCCUGGGGUCAGUAUCCAGUUCCUCCAAGAAACGAGUGUGAUACGGGGAAGGAAGGAAGGAAGGAAGGCGCAUAGAUUUUGUUUCGCUUCAGCAGUGUCUUCGCAGGAAAGCCUAAUCCUCCAUCCUUU